UACGAAGGGGGCGAGCGUUGUCCGGAAUUAUUGGGCGUAAAGAGCUCGUAGGCGGUUUGUCGCGUCUGCUGUGAAAACCCGAGGCUCAACCUCGGGCCUGCAGUGGGUACGGGCAGACUAGAGUGCGGUAGGGGAGAUUGGAAUUCCUGGUGUAGCGGUGGAAUGCGCAGAUAUCAGGAGGAACACCGAUGGCGAAGGCAGAUCUCUGGGCCGUAACUGACGCUGAGGAGCGAAAGCAUGGGGAGCGAACAGG
rnacentral:rRNA from 1 species